AGUGUAGUGGUUAUCACGUCUGCCUAAUAGGCAGAAGAUCCCCAGUUCGAGCCUGGG
rnacentral:tRNA from 1 species